rnacentral:rRNA from 1 species
CCAAUAGCGUAUAUUAAAGUUGUUGUAGUUAAAAAGCUCGUAGUUGAAUUUCGGGAUCAAUAUAUCGGUCGUGCCAUUGGUACGUACUGGUAUCAUUGGUUUCUCCUUUCUGACGAACCAUGAUGUCAUUAAUUUGGUGUUAUGGGAAGUUAGGACUGUUACUUUGAAAAAAUUAGGGUGUUUAAAGCAGGCUUUAGCUUGAAUACAUUAGCAUGGAAUAAUGAAAUAGGACGUUCGAACCUAUCUUGUUGGUUUCUAGGAUCAACGUAAUGAUUAAUAGGGAUAGUUGGGGGCAUUAGUAUUCAAUUGUCAGAGGUGAAAUUCUUGGAUUUAUUGAAGACUAACUACUGCGAAAGCAUUUGCCAAGGAUGUUUUCAUUAAUCAAGAACGAAAGUUAGGGGAUCGAAGACGAUCAGAUACCGUCGUAGUCUUAACCAUAAAACUAUGCCGACUAGGGAUCGGAUGAUGUUAAUUUUUUAAUGACUCAUUCGGCGCCUUACG